UCACGGGGCCCCUGUUGCAUCCUGCCCUGAAUUAGCCCCUUGUCUUCAUGUCUGCAGAACUCUAGCCUCAGGAUAAAGCGGUCUCAAGGUUCUCACUGACAAGGAGGUGGCCUGCCCCCUCAGAACCCUUCUCCAGAGAGAUGUUGCUGGGGUGAUGAAGCUUAACACGAGCCCUCCCUGAGCCACCCACCCCCGGCCCCCACCAACCAUCGAACAGACUUUGGACACCUGGCCUCACUCCUGCUCUCCAAGUCGCCUGUCCCCUUUGGAAGGGUCCCUGUAUUCAGCCCAGGGAGAAAGCAGGGCCAGAUCCUGUUCACCUCCUCCCUGGCCGGCCGGCCAUCUCUCAUGAGUCAAAACAAACUCUC